rnacentral:rRNA from 1 species
GAUCUAAAAUGACUCUCGGCAACGGAUAUCUCGGCUCUUGCAUCGAUGAAAACGUAGCGAAAUGCGAUACUUGGUGUGAAUUGCAGAAUCCCGUGAACCAUCGAGUCUUUGAACGCAAGUUGCGCCCAAAGCCAUUAGGCCGAGGGCACGCCUGCCUGGGUGUCACUAA